ACAGGGAAACCUCGAUGGACAAGGGUGAGCAUGCAUUUGUUUGGCCAUUUCUGUGCUUUUUUUUUUUUGGGAAUCCUUUUGGAUUUAGAUUAUGGGCUUUGUUGUAUUGUUGUGAUGAUUCUGUGAGGAAUGGUUAUGGGGUUUUAUUCAAUAGAGACUUUGGGCCACAAUGCUCUAUUGGGUGUAGGGAGAACGAUUGGACUGAGUGUUUUAGGCUGUGUGUUUGAAAUUUUCUUGUUUAGCUGUUUUGUUUUAUGGUUGCUCCUUCAAUUUUUCUUUUGGCAGCAUACUACCAUAGAUUAUUAGGUGCACUAAGAUAAAGGAGAGAUUUUAUGGGUCUAUGAUUUUUUUAGGGCUUUUGAUAAAGGAGGAUUCUUUUAACUUAUUGGAGUGGAGUUUGUGUGAGAUUUUGUGUGAAUAAUGUGGGGCAUAUGUUUAUUUCACAUGCCCUUGCUUUAAGUGGUCGAUACUUUACUUGUGGGUUUUCUUCAUUUAUGUUGGUUGCAUUACCUGACAAUGAACUGUUUUUUGGAUUUUUGCCACUGGAAGAGCAAGUUAAUCUUUUACACUAAGAAAGGAUGCGAUAGUUGGUCAUAGUUGUGUUGGUACAUCUAAAUUCCUUCCAGAUUGUGGCAUAUGGAUAACUUAAGCAGCCUUUUCAUUAUCCCUCUAGCGAGCAUAGCUAGGCAUACAUGACUAGUUAAAUUUUAAAUCUGUCUUUGAAUUUGAAUUAAGUUAAUCAAUGAAAAUGGUUUCCAUUGGGGAAUUAUUAAAAGGUUAAGAAAAGAGUAAACGAAGAGUGACAUAAAAGAGAAGUUUAUGUAAGCAAAACCUUGGA
rnacentral:misc_RNA from 1 species